rnacentral:rRNA from 1 species
GGAUGCGCAGCUACACAUGCAGUCGAGCGAGAUCUUCGGAUCUAGCGGCGGACGGGUGAGUAACGCGUGGGAACGUACCCUCUUCUGCGGGAUAGCCACUGGAAACGGUGAGUAAUACCGCAUACGCCCUUCGGGGGAAAGAUUUAUCGGAGGAGGAUCGGCCCGCGUUGGAUUAGGUAGUUGGUGGGGUAAUGGCCUACCAAGCCUACGAUCCAUAGCUGGUUUUAGAGGAUGAUCAGCCACACUGGGACUGAGACACGGCCCAGACUCCUACGGGAGGCAGCAGUGGGGAAUCUUAGACAAUGGGCGCAAGCCUGAUCUAGCCAUGCCGCGUGAGUGACGAAGGCCUUAGGGUCGUAAAGCUCUUUCGCCUGUGAUGAUAAUGACAGUAGCAGGUAAAGAAACCCCGGCUAACUCCGUGCCAGCAGCCGCGGUAAUACGGAGGGGGUUAGCGUUGUUCGGAAUUACUGGGCGUAAAGCGCACGUAGGCGGAUUGGAAAGUAUGGGGUGAAAUCCCAGGGCUCAACCCUGGAACGGCCUCAUAAACUUCCAGUCUGGAGUUCGAGAGAGGUGAGUGGAAUUCCGAGUGUAGAGGUGAAAUUCGUAGAUAUUCGGAGGAACACCAGUGGCGAAGGCGGCUCACUGGCUCGAUACUGACGCUGAGGUGCGAAAGUGUGGGGAGCAAACAGGAUUAGAUACCCUGGU